rnacentral:rRNA from 1 species
AGACGAACCGUACAAACGUUAUUCGGAAUCACUGGGCUUAAAGGGUGCGUAGGCGGCAUGGCAAGUUGGGUGUGAAAUCCCUCGGCUCAACCGAGGAAUAGCGCCCAAAACUGCUUUGCUUGAGGGAGAUAGAGGUGAGCGGAACUACGGGUGGAGCGGUGAAAUGCGUUGAUAUCCGUAGGAACACCGGUGGCGAAAGCGGCUCACUGGGUCUCUUCUGACGCUGAGGCACGAAAGCUAGGGUAGCGAACGGGAUUAGAAACCCCGGUAGUCC